rnacentral:rRNA from 1 species
AUUGAACGCUGGCGGCAGGCCUAACACAUGCAAGUCGAGCGGGGUUUUCGGACCUAGCGGCGGACGGGUGAGUAAUGCGUAGGAAGCUGCCCGAUAGAGGGGGAUACCAGUUGGAAACGACUGUUAAUACCGCAUAAUGUCUACGGACCAAAGUGUGGGACCUUCGGGCCACAUGCUAUCGGAUGCGCCUACGUGGGAUUAGCUAGUUGGUGAGGUAAUGGCUCACCAAGGCGACGAUCUCUAGCUGGUUUGAGAGGAUGAUCAGCCACACUGGAACUGAGACACGGUCCAGACUCCUACGGGAGGCAGCAGUGGGGAAUAUUGGACAAUGGGCGCAAGCCUGAUCCAGCCAUGCCGCGUGUGUGAAGAAGGCCUUCGGGUUGUAAAGCACUUUCAGCGAGGAGGAAGGGGUGUGUGUUAAUAGUACACACCUUUGACGUUACUCGCAGAAGAAGCACCGGCUAACUCUGUGCCAGCCGCCGCUGUAA